GCUGGAACGUCCAGAAAUAAGGGGGUUGAAGAAAGUAAGUAGGCACAUUCCAUGUGAGUGUCUCGUGAACAGAGCAAGAGCCAACAGCAGGUUGAAAUGCAGAUGUAGCCGUGCCCCGGUAUAGACAGCUGAAGCAGUACAGCAGCCUAGGGGAUGGCUGAACCUGGGACCCUGAAUGACAUCAAGGUGCACAACUGCCUUACCAGCUCAGACUGGCCAGCCUGUUGACUAAGAGAGAAAAGAAGCAUUAAGAAAAGACUUGAGGGGGCUUCCCUGGUGGCGCAGUGGUUGAGAAUCUGCCUGCCAAUGCAGGGGA